UACAGAGGGUGCGAGCGUUGUCCGGAAUCACUGGGCGUAAAGGGCGCGUAGGCGGCGCGGUAAGCGUGCGGUGAAAGCCCGGGGCUCAACCCCGGGUCGGCCGUGCGGACUGCCGGGCUGGAGCACUGUAGAGGCAGGUGGAAUUCCGGGUGUAGCGGUGGAAUGCGUAGAGAUCCGGAAGAACACCGGUGGCGAAGGCGGCCUGCUGGGCAGUAGCUGACGCUGAGGCGCGAAAGCGUGGGGAGCAAACGGG
rnacentral:rRNA from 1 species